GAGUAAUGCAUAGGUAACGUACCCCUUAGUCUGGGAUAGCCACUGGAAACGGUGAAUAAUACUAGAUACUCCUUCUUGCUUAAUGUGAGUCGGGAAAGUUUUUUCGCUAAGGGAUCGGCCUAUGUUGUAUCAGGUAGUUGGUGAGGUAAUGGCUCACCAAGCCUAUGACACAUAGCGGGUCUGAGAGGAUGAUCCGCCACACUGGUACUGAGACACGGACCAG
rnacentral:rRNA from 1 species